AGUUGGUGGAGUGAUUUGUCUGGUUAAUUCCGUUAACGAACGAGACCUCGACCUGCUAAAUAGUUCGCCGAACCUUUUGGUUCGUGUGUGACUUCUUAGAGGGACUAUCGGUGUGUAGCCGGUGGAAGUUCGAGGCAAUAACAGGU
rnacentral:rRNA from 1 species